rnacentral:rRNA from 1 species
AUGAACGCUAGCUACAGGCUUAACACAUGCAAGUCGAGGGGCAGCAUGGUCUUAGCUUGCUAAGACUGAUGGCGACCGGCGCACGGGUGAGUAACACGUAUCCAACCUGCCGUCUACUCUUGGACAGCCUUCUGAAAGGAAGAUUAAUACAAGAUGGCAUCAUGAGUCCGCAUGUUCACAUGAUUAAAGGUAUUCCGGUAGACGAUGGGGAUGCGUUCCAUUAGAUAGUAGGCGGGGUAACGGCCCACCUAGUCUUCGAUGGAUAGGGGUUCUGAGAGGAAGGUCCCCCACAUUGGAACUGAGACACGGUCCAAACUCCUACGGGAGGCAGCAGUGAGGAAUAUUGGUCAAUGGGCGAGAGCCUGAACCAGCCAAGUAGCGUGAAGGAUGACUGCCCUAUGGGUUGUAAACUUCUUUUAUAAAGGAAUAAAGUCGGGUAUGGAUACCCGUUUGCAUGUACUUUAUGAAUAAGGAUCGGCUAACUCCGUGCCAGCAGCCGCGGUAAUACGGAGGAUCCGAGCGUUAUCCGGAUUUAUUGGGUUUAAAGGGAGCGUAGAUGGAUGUUUAAGUCAGUUGUGAAAGUUUGCGGCUCAACCGUAAAAUUGCAGUUGAUACUGGAUAUCUUGAGUGCAGUUGAGGCAGGCGGAAUUCGUGGUGUAGCGGUGAAAUGCUUAGAUAUCACGAAGAACUCCGAUUGCGAAGGCAGCCUGCUAAGCUGCAACUGACAUUGAGGCUCGAAAGUGUGGGUAUCAAACAGGAUUAGAUACCCUGGUAGUCCACACGGUAAACGAUGAAUACUCGCUGUUUGCGAUAUACGGCAAGCGGCCAAGCGAAAGCGUUAAGUAUUCCACCUGGGGAGUACGCCGGCAACGGUGAAACUCAAAGGAAUUGACGGGGGCCCGCACAAGCGGAGGAACAUGUGGUUUAAUUCGAUGAUACGCGAGGAACCUUACCCGGGCUUAAAUUGCAGAUGAAUUACGGUGAAAGCCGUAAGCCGCAAGGCAUCUGUGAAGGUGCUGCAUGGUUGUCGUCAGCUCGUGCCGUGAGGUGUCGGCUUAAGUGCCAUAACGAGCGCAACCCUUGUUGUCAGUUACUAACAGGUUCUGCUGAGGACUCUGACAAGACUGCCAUCGUAAGAUGUGAGGAAGGUGGGGAUGACGUCAAAUCAGCACGGCCCUUACGUCCGGGGCUACACACGUGUUACAAUGGGGGGUACAGAGGGCCGCUACCACGCGAGUGGAUGCCAAUCCCAAAAACCUCUCUCAGUUCGGACUGGAGUCUGCAACCCGACUCCACGAAGCUGGAUUCGCUAGUAAUCGCGCAUCAGCCACGGCGCGGUGAAUACGUUCCCGGGCCUUGUACACACCGCCCGUCAAGCCAUGGGAGCCGGGGGUACCUGAAGUGCGUAACCGCGAGGAGCGCCCUAGGGUAAAACUGGUGACUGGGGCU